GGAUAGCUCAGUCUGUAGAGCAUGAGACUCUUAAUCUCAAGGUCAAGAUUCGAAUCCCACGUUGGGCA